GGCGUAGCUCAGUGGUAGAAUGUGUGCUUAGCAUGCACAAGGUCUUGGGUUCAAUCCCUAAUACCGCCA
rnacentral:tRNA from 1 species